GUGCUCACUCACGCCUGUCGGUGCGCGGUCCAGCCUGGGACAUGUCGGCGCAGAUGAAGGAGACGCGCAGAGCCAGGGGGUUGCCUGCAAGCACCAGCUGAAGCCGACACUGAAAGUACAGCAAAAAAGGACACGUGACGUCUUCAGCAUGGGGCCGCUACACAUCAAGGCAGCCUGGAAAACAACUUUAGGCCUGUGAAUGUGUCAGUCUCACAUCUUGGGAUCCAUGCACGUGAGUCUGAGAUUCAACAGCGAAGCAAUCAGUGAGGACUUAGAGAUGCCAUUUUAAGUGUGCUGUGCAGAGAGGUUUCUUCCUUGCUUUUAGGUUUUUUGGAAAUAAACCCAAGCAACUUGGAAGCAGAUCUUCUGUGGAGGAGCUCUUCAAAACCACCCAAAAUUGAUGGCAGGACAACUCUGCAAAGCUUGCCUCGCCACUGCCUGGACGCAACACGCCCGGAACUGCUUUCCCACACAGGGACUUCAGACAUCGCCCGCUGCCUUCUCACGGGAACAAGCUGCACAUAACCGCUCGUUAAUCUGACUCAAGGUGGUGUUCCUCUCUGGGAGUCCACCCAGUGCAAUCUGGACAUCCUCUGUGCUCUUGACUUAGGAGGUUUGGAGCUGUUUUUGACAUCUUGGUUUAUACACAUGUUCUUUUCAGGCAGGCCAGAUGCUAGAGCAGGCCAGAUGCUCACCGCACAUAACACGCUCUCAUUUGAGUGAUCUGAAGGCAAGAGAUGGAGGGAAGAAGCACCUGCUCUGCACUGCUACUACCAUCUUUCCAUGAGGAGAGGCUCAGUUUCUCUCUGCUCAUAGCCCUUGUAAAGUUUCUUGCUCCCAUCAAGUGAUUAAAAUACCUUGUGACAGUCUGGAUGUAAAGAAGGUGCUGGAAGCCGCCUGACCUCAUGGCUGCCUCGCAACUGUAGCCAGCCACUGCGCUGGGUGUAACAGGACCUGGUGCGAAGGGUUGCAGCCUAGGUAGAGUGCAGGAGGUCCUCUACCCAUAGAAGUUACUUGUAAGUUACAACCAUUCAUUUGUGGUGACGGGAUCGUCUGAAGUGGCGAUAGUGAGGGAUCAAUUUGCUAAUGCUACCCUCUUUUUGCUUUCAUAACGUUACAAUCACUUAGUGGGACUUGAAUUUGAUCCAACAUUUCAUUUUCAGUGAACCGAGGAAGUAACUUCAAAUAGCUGAAAACUUACCUAAUUUCUCUGCCUUUAAUUCUUCAGCUUCUACUUCUAUUUACAUCCAUUCCUUGUAGUAGUGGUUCAAAAACGUGCAAAACGCUACCUACACACGAGAACAUACAGUCCUUGCCUCAAAGAUUAAUUUCAGUGACAGCCUCGGGAUCUUAAUACUUCAACUCCUUUUUUUGUUAAAACUAUGAAAGACCAUGGGCAGCCUCCAGUACCCUUUAAAAAAAAAUAAAUAAAAAUAAAACAAAACUUCUUUCGGCCAGCCAGAAAAAGAUGAGCUUUUUUCCCCAGUCUUGGCCUCUCUGCAAUUAUCUGUGCUUUUAAAUCUCCACAUUCAUUUUUCCUGUGGACCCUUAACAGCACCAACAUCCAUGCUUCCUUCACCACGCUAGGGUCUUUCACGGUGGUGGUGACUGUCUCUAAUGCCAUGUGUGCUCUGCCCCAGGCUUAUGAGAGGACUCUUCCCAUACCCUCUGGUUGUGGUUCCCCCGAUUUCCCCUGCCCAGCCAUCUGUAGUGCAGGCUAGUUGUAAGCCCUUGUCCUUUUAGCCUUCUGCUCUGACCUCCCUGGGAAGUUUUGAUGAUCAGCCUGUAUUUUGGGUUGCGUGCUAUUCACCUUCUGCUUUGUUUCUGAGUUCGCUUUUGUUCUGGUGUUCUCGUUCCGCGAAUUAUAUUUGCACCACUUUUUUUCCUUUUCAUAGUUUGACACCUACUGUACCACACCAACAUGCUUCUGUCACAGGCUGUGCGACACCUGCAAAAUAGAAUCCACAGGCAAUAGAACGAGACACAUUUUAAGAGCAGGAAAUAAACGAACACGUAGAGAUGUAAUACUUCCAGCCCAAUCUCCUAACGUUACUCCUUUGUUUAAAUAUGUGAGCAAUCCCAUUUGAUCUACUCUGGUGCUUACAGUUAAGCUUAUUAAGUGUUUGCACGGCAGUGGUCUACAUGCAGAGGAGUCAGAAGAGAAGGGAAAGAAAAGGAGUGUGACACUGCUUAAAAGGGGAGUUCUGGCGGUAGGAAACAAUGCCUUGCUCUCCUUCCCCCCAGGGCAAUGUUCUCUUUUCAGCUGCUCACGGUACUGUACAGCACUGGCAUCAGGCUCUCCCUCUGUGUUUGGUGUUUUCAUUGACAUUAGCUAUGUAAAUGCAGUAAUAAUUAGGGCUGUCAAGACGAAAAAAAUAUUUCAAAAUUGUUGCCAAAACAAAAGCCUGAUUUUUUUUUUUUUUUAAAUUCCAGGUUGAACUCAGUGAUUCAUUUUGUCUCAAAUUAUAUGUCAUUUUAUUUUCAAGGUGUUUUUCUGACUACUCACUAAAAUUGUACUCAUUGUCACUAUUUUCAGACAACUAUGUGGGAGAGAACAGUUAUCACUGUUUCUACAAUGAGAACUCUGGGCAGAAAAGCACUUAUGCACUUGCUUCCUUCACUUGCGAAGGAUUUAGGCACGUACUUAAACUUAAGUAUAAGUACUUUUUGGAACAAGGAUGUCUCAUAGAAUCAGGGCUUGAUUCAGAAGCUGUACAUCUAAGGAGCUCCGUCUCUUAACUCCUCGCUCUAAGCACUAGAAAAUCUCCUGCUUCAGCAGUAUAAAACAGUGUCAUGCUGUUUGAUACAUUUCUUGGCACAUACACAUUCUAAUUCACAAUAAUAUCAUUUCUUUCCUUUUUUAGUUUGCUUUUCUUUGGGUGCAAUGUACUAUGUUUUACUGUAUGUACUACUACAUACUGCUUGCACAAUGUUUUGCAUGAUCUAAUAUUCUUUGUUCAAAACUGCAAAAAAAUCUAAAUAAAGACUAUAGUGUGUCGCAUCAG